GUUGUGCAGCAAUAAAUAGCUAAUAUACAAUAUUUCCACUGAGAAGUUAACUGUUAUUUUGAACUCUGAAUCUCAUAUAGACCAGUGUUCACUUUAUCUUACUCUCUCUCUCUCCUCUCUCUCACUCUCUGUCUCUGAAAUUUCUUCAGAUUUUUUAUUUGUUUCUGGUGCUCUUACUUUUCACAAUGUUGGAACUUAUUGAUGGUUCUGUCUGUGUCUAUUGGGCUGGACAUGCUUUAGGAUCUUUUAUAACCUGUACUCAGUUUGAGUAGUUUCUUGGGUUGAUUCCGUUUUGAUUUUCUCAUUUCUUUGGAAAUUUAUAAUUUUAAAAUUUUGGACCACUGAGAACAUUUUUAAAUUGUCUUAAUCUAACUUUCCACUUCUAUUCUUUUGCCUAUUCUUCUUAGAUAAUUUUUACACUUUAUUUUCAAGCCCUUCUAUUAAUAUUUUUAUUUCUGCUGUGUUAUUUCUAAGACUUACAGAUUUUAUAAUGCUAUUUUUUAGCAUCUCUCCUAUUUUGUGGAUAUGUCAUCUUUUCUCUCUGAAUAUGAUAAUGAGGCUUUCAUUUGUUUUCUAAGUUUUUAUAUCCCUAGGUAUUUACUGUUUUGAUAAUUUUUUCUUCCCUGUUUGUUUGCUUUGCUUUUUUCUUCCAAGAUAAAGCCUGGAAGCUGCACGUCACCUGCCAGCUUUGUGUGUGCCCAGUGAGUGCAGGUGGCAUAAUGACCAGCGGUGACUUGAAUGACAAGGGGACAGAACAGCUGGACAAUCCAAUUCCUAGAUGCUUUCUCCAGUUAUGGCCCUGACUGGGAUCUCCGAAGAAUGACUCAGCUGAAACUGUCAGUGAGGAUGCUUACCUGUGGUCUCCCCAUCAUGGUGGUAUCAGGGUUGUUGAACACCUUACAUGGCUCCAAAAGCAAGUGUUCUGGAAUGUAAGGCAACAGCUGUGUGGUCUUUCAUAAUCCAGCAUCAGAAGUCACAUGGCAUCACUCCUGCUAAAAUUUCUUUGUGGAAGCAGCCACAAAACUGCCCAAAUUCAAGUAGAGGGCACACAGAUCUUAUUUUUUGAUGGGAGGACUCACAAAAAUUUUGCCACCAUAUUAUAAAAACACUAUAAGAUCUAAUAGUAACUUUAACUUUUUUUAACCAAUCCUUCUAUUUUCAGCCCAGACUUCACUUCCUUAUUCAGAUGUAUAAAUGUCUUCUGUGGCUUUGUGAUCAAAUCUGAAUGUUUCUUGGAUUUACCCCUGCCAGCUAAGGAUUUGGCCUUCUUUGAUCUGUUAAAUCAGUUCUCAAACACUGACUUGUUUUCCAUCUAAAAUAUCAGGGUGACCUUUAUCCCAUUCUCAUUGCUUUGAGGAUUUUGUGCCCCCUUUUUUAAAGUCACUUUCUAUGUAUUUUUAUAUGAGUGAGGUUUUGGGAGAAAGUACAGAUAAAUAUAUAUUCUCAAUCUACCACUUUAAUUGAAAAUUCUUGUUUUUUCUUUUACAAAAUUCCUAAUGUUUGCCUAACAAACAUUUAUUGAGAAACUGCUGUAUUUUCAGUAUGUGUUAAGGUCUGUGUACAUCUAUUUUAUAUACAUUAUCUUAUUUAAUAUGCUCAUUUAAUUUCCACAUCUUGUUUAACAUUUAUAAUCUUUUGAUUUGUUAAAUACAAUUUGUAGAAGACCAUUGGUUUAGCGUGAGCUGCACCAGGCCUGGCAGACCAAACCAAAAUGUAGUAUCUCAUACUAAAGUUCCAUGCCACCAAGCUGAAACUAAGUUGUUUAUCUGACUUUCCAAGAAGUCAGGAGAAAGAGAUAACAGUCAAAUCCCCAAAUAUGCUAGUUUGAGUUGGCAUGAUAGGAAAGUUCCUUCCACUUUAGCCUUUAUACGAAAGUAACUUUGGAAUGAUCAGUCUGCUUUUUGUUUCCUGUUUCUGUUUCAGCACUUUUUGUAAAGCCAACUUCUUCUCAGCACAUCAGAACACUCAUUCUACUUUAUAGAAUGAGGUAUAAUCUGAAUCUAAAAUCACAAAUAAAAGCCAAUUAAGAUUUUUAAAGUAAGUUUGUUGUAAUUUUGUCUUUUGACAGAUUUCAUCAUUGCCUACAUUUGUCUUCAGACGACCUGCAGUACAAACUUGGCUUAAACCUGCAGUUGACAAUGGAUUCACCGUGGGAGAAUAAAUUACAAUGGAUAAAAAACAGCAUUACAAUCCCUCAAUAAAAUGGGAUUUUAACAGACAAAGCUGAAUCUCCAUGUGCUCUCUCUCUCUUCUAACAUCAAUGCAGCUCCUGGUAUGUGGUCGUUCUCAGGCCCAAAGGCCCAUUUUGCUUUUGGCUGCAACUCUGUAACUCUGUAACAGAGACCAAGUGCCUGCAGGGAGCAGAUGUUUGGGGCAGUAUCUGCUAAGGUGGCUUUGCUGAAACUUGUUUCUCUCAUUGGGUCUUGGAAGUGGCGAAUAGGACGUUCCUAUAGAAAAACUCAGAAAGAUAAUGAAGCUGCUAUUUGCAAGAACUGCAUCUGUCUGACUCUCAGACAGAUCUACACCAGUGUUUAGCAGACAUGCCAAAUGAUAAGAGUCAAUCACAGCCUCUGUAGAAAAUACUGGAACCCUGAUGUGGACUUACUGAAUCAGAAUCUCCAGGCAAUAAGCUUGAGAUUCUCUGAGACUGUGAAAGAUAAUCUUAAAGAGGCACUCACGAAACACAAGCUCCUUCUCCGGGAAAAAGAAUCAUCACCCUUGUUAUCCCAUGAAAAUUCAUCUUCUCCUUUUCAGCUGAUAUGAGGACUUGAUCUGUCCUUUCCUAUAAGUGCCAUCUGUGUUUAAAUGAGGCUGUUACUCUAACUCAAAGCAGACUUGCAAGAGUAAAAUAAUCAAUCUUCAUCAUAUUGCUGCACUUUCGACAGUUAAUUUUCUAGAGUAAUUUGUCAUUGUGAGGAGCAUAAGAUUUGUCUGAAUUUGUGUCAAAGGUUAUUGACUGAAUUGCCACCUCAUCUUUUCAGUCAAUCUAUAAAUAUGGGCAAGUUUGGGCAGAGGCUAAUGGCCUUCUCACUAAGGGGAUGAGAUUGUCCAAGUUAGGCAACUGAUAAGAGGUAGAAAUAUCUAUUGUGUCACCCAUUUCUUGUGGUAGCAUUGACUUAGAGUUAAUCUCAGAAACUUCACUUAACCUUCUUAAUCCUUUUCUUCCUGUAAAACAAGGCUAAAAAUUGUCAUAACUAUAUUCUAGUUUCCACAAAAGCUAAUCUAAGUAUUAAAAUUUUUAUUGUGACUUUGUGAGAGUGAUCCUGUAUUUUUCACAAAACUAAGAAGAAAAUAUUUUUAUUUAGUGUUUUUCUAUGAAUAGCUUUUGGUUUUUGGAAAAACCAUCUGAUCUUUAUUACUAAGAUUCUUGCUUCUUAGGUCAAAUUCUUGUUCCCUGUCUUUAUAUAGAGUCUAAUAUUGGGAACAUACCCAAGGACCACAUGGAUAAUUUUAUGAUGCUUGCUGACUAUUAUGUUUCUUGCCCACUUUAAUAGCCUAAUAAUAAUAGUUACGAAUUCUUAUUGAGAAAUAGCCAUUCUUAAUCAAUGCCAAUGACAGUGUUUCCUCUUUCAGACUGAAGGAAAAACAGGGAGAAAACCAGUUCAUAUAUUAUGGUUAAACACUGAUAAAACAUUUUGGUUAAAUAUCUGCCUUCAUGGGUUAUUGCAAAAUAGAUUAGUUUAAAGCUCAUCUAGCCCUGAAAUAUACAGUUAGAUUAUUUUUUAUGGAUUUCAAUUAUUUUUAUUUCAUUACAGUUAUUUUUUUUUCAAUACAUGGCCUGUUUGAAGAUACAUCAUAGUAAUGGUAACAGCAGCAACCACUGCAGUAAAUAACUGACAAUUGCUGAACAAUUCAUGUCUGCCAUGCCAUGCUAUGAGGGCCUUAAGGAAUAAAUACAACUUAUAUUCAUAAUAAACAUAGGAGGUUGUAGAAGGCUAAAUAAUGGGUCACCAAAGAUACCCACAUCCCAUAAUUCCUGUAACUGGUGACUAUGUUACCUUGCAUGGUAGAAGGGAUUUUGCAGUUGAGGUUAAGGUUAAAGACUUUAUAAAGGCAGAUUAUCUUGGAUUAUCUGGGUGGGUCUUUAAAAGCGGAAGAGAAAAGCAGAAAAGCAAGUCAGACAGACAGAUGCAACUACAGAAGAGACAGUAGGGACUCAACUCAAAUGACUAACUUUGAAGAUGGAGGAGGUGGUCCAUGAGGCAAGGAAUGCACUUGCUUCUAGAAGCUGGGAAUAACCCACAGCUAGAAGCAAAGUAGGAAAUGGAAGUCUCAAUUCUACAUCGUAAGGAAGUGAAUUCUGCCAAUAACUUGAAAGAGAAGGAAAUAGAUUCCCUCCAGAGGCUCUAGAAAAUAAUGUAUCCCUGCUGACACCUUAAUUUGAUUUGAGCCCCAUGAGACCCACGUUGGACUUCUGACUUAUGGAGCUUGUAAGAUAAUAAAUUUGCAUUGUUUCAGCCACUACAUUUGUGGAAAUUUGUUACAACCACAAUAGGAAACUCAUAGAAUAGUAAUCACUAGUAAUAUCUUCAUUUAACAGUUGAGGAAAUUGAGGCAGGACAACACAAGUUAUAAAAAUUAUCUCAGUUCUUAGUAGAGUUCCUGGCAUAUGACAAGCAGUUAAUGUCUUUGUAGAAUGAAUGAAUGAAUAAAUAAAUAGAUUUUUUCUUAUGCUUUCCCAAA
rnacentral:lncRNA from 1 species